rnacentral:rRNA from 1 species
UACGAAGGGGGCUAGCGUUGUUCGGAAUUACUGGGCGUAAAGCGCGCGCAGGCGGUUCUCCAAGUCAGUGGUGAAAGCCCGGAGCUCAACUCCGGAACUGCCUUUGAUACUGAGGAUCUUGAGUUCGGGAGAGGUGAGUGGAACUGCGAGUGUAGAGGUGAAAUUCGUAGAUAUUCGCAAGAACACCAGUGGCGAAGGCGGCUCACUGGCCCGAUACUGACGCUGAGGCACGAAAGCGUGGGGAGCAAACAGG